rnacentral:rRNA from 1 species
CCUACGGGAGGCAGCAGUGAGGAAUAUUGGUCAAUGGCCGUAAGGCUGAACCAGCCAAGUAGCGUGAGGGAAGACUGCCCUAUGGGUUGUAAACCUCUUUUAUGCGGGGAUAAAGGUGUCCACGUGUGGAUGUUUGCAGGUACCGCAUGAAUAAGGACCGGCUAAUUCCGUGCCAGCAGCCGCGGUAAUACGGAAGGUCCGGGCGUUAUCCGGAUUUAUUGGGUUUAAAGGGAGCGUAGGCCGGACUUUAAGCGUGCCGUGAAAUUUUGUGGCUCAACCCUGAGCGUGCGGCGCGAACUGGAGGCCUUGAGUGCGCGGAAGGCAGGCGGAAUUCGUGGUGUAGCGGUGAAAUGCUUAGAUAUCACGAAGAACCCCGAUUGCGAAGGCAGCCUGCCGCAGCGUUACUGACGCUGAAGCUCGAAAGCGCGGGUAUCGAACAGGAUUAGAUACCCGAGUAGUC